rnacentral:rRNA from 1 species
AAAAUUGGACAAUGGGGGGAACCCUGAUCCAGCCAUGCCGCGUGUGUGAAGAAGGUCUUCGGAUUGUAAAGCCCUUUAGGUUGGGAGGAGGAGUUGUAGGCUAAUACCUUGCAAUAUUGACGUCACCAUCCGAAUAAGCACCGGCUAUAUUAGUGCCAGCAGCCGCGGUAAUACGAAGGGUGCAAGCGUUAAUCGGAAUUACUGGGCGUAAAGCGCGCGUAGGUGGUUUGUUAAGUUGGAAGUGAAAGCCCCGGGCUCAACCUGGGAACUGCUUUCAAAACGGGCAAGCUAGAGUAUGGCAGAGGGUAGUGGAAUUUCCUGUGUAGCGGUGAAAUGCGUAGAUAUAAGAAGGAACACCAGUGGCGAAGGCAACCACCUGGGCUAAUACUGACACUGAGGUGCGAAAGCAUGGGGAGCAAACAGG